UUUACUCAAUGCUCGUCGUUAAACCGCUUCCUGCAUACCCAAAUCCCUAUUAACGACGCCGUCAGCUCCGCCGCGGGCUUCACUACGACCCUAAUCAGCAUAAGUUUGUGGCUUUCGGCGUCGGAAGAUGACUAAGUUGACAAUUUUGAUUAAUUAUGAUGGGAAGUGGGUUAAUUCUUUAUAUAAGGGUGGUAAAAUGAA